rnacentral:rRNA from 1 species
UACGAAGGGGGCUAGCGUUGCUCGGAAUCACUGGGCGUAAAGCGCACGUAGGCGGAUUGUUAAGUCAGGGGUGAAAGCCCGGAGCUCAACUCCGGAACUGCCUCUGAUACUGACAGUCUCGAGUUCGGGAGAGGUGAGUGGAACUGCGAGUGUAGAGGUGAAAUUCGUAGAUAUUCGCAAGAACACCAGUGGCGAAGGCGGCUCACUGGCCCGAUACUGACGCUGAGGUGCGAAAGCGUGGGGAGCAAACAGG